AUUGAACGCUGGCGGCAGGCCUAACACAUGCAAGUCGAGCGAGCGGCGGACGGGUGAGUAAUGUCUGGGAAACUGCCUGAUGGCGGGGGAUAACUACUGGAAACGGUAGCUAAUACCGCAUACCAUCAGAUGUACCCAUAUGGGAUUAGCUAGUAGGUGGGGUAACGGCUUACCUAGGCGACGAUCCCUAGCUGGUCUGAGAGGAUGAACAGCCACACUGGAACUGAGACACGGCCCAGACGCCUACGGGAGGCAGCAGUGGGGAAUAUUGCACAAUGGGCGCAAGCCUGAUGCAGCCAUGCCGCGUGUAUGAAGAAGGCCUUCGGGUUGUAAAGUACUUUCAGCGGGGAGGCGUUACCCGCAGAAGAAGCACCGGCUAACUCCGUGCCAGCAGCCGCGGUAAUAC
rnacentral:rRNA from 1 species